rnacentral:rRNA from 1 species
UACAGAGGUCUCAAGCGUUGUUCGGAUUCAUUGGGCGUAAAGGGUGCGUAGGCGGCGCGGUAAGUCGGGGUGUGAAAUCUUGGAGCUUAACUCCGAAACUGCAUUCGAUACUGCCGUGCUUGAGGACUGGAGAGGAGACUGGAAUUUACGGUGUAGCGGUGAAAUGCGUAGAUAUCGUAAGGAAGACCAGUGGCGAAGGCGGGGUCUCUGGACAGUUCCUGACGCUGAGGCACGAAGGCCAGGGGGAGCAAAACGGGG